AGCUAGAGUUUGAUCCUGGCUCAGAUUGAACGCUGGCGGCAUGCCUUACACAUGCAAGUCGAACGGCAGCACGGGUGCUUGCACCUGGUGGCGAGUGGCGAACGGGUGAGUAAAGCAUCGGAACGUGCCCAACUGUGGGGGAUAACGCACCGAAAGGUGUGCUAAUACCGCAUAAGCCCCGAGGGGGAAAGCAGGGGAUCUUAGGACCUUGCGCAGAUGGAGCGGCCGAUGUCGGAUUAGCUAGUUGGUGAGGUAAAGGCUCACCAAGGCGACGAUCCGUAGCUGGUCUGAGAGGAUGAUCAGCCACACUGGAACUGAGAGACGGUCCAGACUCCUACGGGAGGCAGCAGUGGGGAAUUUUGGACAAUGGGGGCAACCCUGAUCCAGCCAUGCCGCGUGAGUGAAGAAGGCCUUCGGGUUGUAAACCUCUUUCAGUUGGGACGAAGCCACGGCGGUUAAUACCCGUCUGUGGUGACGGUACCUUCAGAAGAAGCCCCGGCUAACUACGUGCCAGCAGCCGCGGUAGUCGGGCCC
rnacentral:rRNA from 1 species